rnacentral:lncRNA from 1 species
AGUUCGUCCAGCGGAAAAAGGCCACACAAAACGGGUGGGCUAUAGCCUUGGGGAGUGGGGCUGGCCAACUUCGUCCGCCGGACUCAGAAUGGCGCGAGACUUUGCGAGCGACCUCCGUGUGCCAAAAAUAUGCCGCGGGCACAGCCUCGCCCAAAAAUAACUGCCCGAAGGCCGGGGCGCCAAGUUCGUCCAACGGAAAAAGGCCACAAAAACGGGUGGGCUAUAGCCUUGGGGGCUUGGGCUGGUCAACUUCGUCCGCCGGACUCGGAAUGGCGCGAGACUUUGCGACCAGCCUCCGUGUGCCAAAAAUAGGUGGUGGGCACAGCCGCGCUAAAAAAUAACCACCCGAAGGCCGGGGCGCCAAGUUCGUCCAGCGGAAAAAGCCCACAAAAACGGGUGGGCUAUAGCCUUGGGGGGUGGGGCUGUCCAACUUCGUCCGCCGGACUCGGAAUGGCGCGUGACUUUGCGAGCGGCCUCCGUGUGCCAAAAACAGGCCGCGGGCUCAGCCGCGCCCACAAAUAACAGCCCGGAGGGCCGGGGCGCCAAGUUAGUCCAGCGGAAAAAGGCCACACAGAACGGGUGGGCUAUAGCCUUGGGGGGUGGGGCUGGCCGACUUCGUCCGCCGGACUCGGAAUGGUGCGAGACUUUGCGAGCGGCCUCCGUGUGCCAAAAAUAGGCCGUGGACACAGCCGCGCCCAAAAAUAACAGCCCGAAGGCCGGGGCGCCAAGUUCGUCCAGCGGAAAAAGGCCACAAAAACGGGUGGGCUAUAGCCUUGGGCGGUGGGGCUGCCCAACUUCGUCUGCCGGACUCGGAAUGGCGCGAGACUUUGCGACCAGCCUCCGUGUGCCAAAAAUAGGUGGUGGGCACAGCCGCGCUCAAAAAUAACCACCCGAAGGCCGGGGCGCUUUGUUCGUCCAGCGGAAAAAGGCCACAAAAACGGGUGGGCUAUAGCCUUGGGGGGUGGGGCU